CCUUCUGCCUUCUUUCCCAUCUAAAUUUCUUUUGGUUAAGUUUGUCGGAGCGCAAUCACUUUGAUAUAACUUAUUAAAAAUGGAACAAAACUAUCUGAUAGUUAACUCCAUCGCGGCUUAUAAUAUGGGCAUAAGAUUUUUUACAAUAACAGAUCUCAUAAACCACAAAAUAAGCUAAUAUGUAUAAUGAACGUACACCGGACUUUUUAAUGAGCCCCUCCACUCCACGUGGUGAAAAGUGAGACACCUGAAGCACUUUGAAAUAUUGCAUGAUUUUAAGUUAUUUUUAUUACAGGUGACCUUGAAUCGGCAAAGUCUUGAAAUGAUUUGAAGAAAUUUCUUCGGGCUUUAUAAGGCUAUGCAACAUGAUUAGUCCUUGACAGUGCAUAAUCCUGCAAUCAAAAGGCAAUGCAUCAUGGUAAGGCUCUCAACAAAAUUAUUGCUGAAUAGUGCCUGAAUAUAUUUAAAGGUUCGAACGGAAUCUUCCAACAAAUGUCUAUUUAAUAUAUAAAAUACAUUCUUUAUUUAAGCAUACAUAAUAAAAUAUUUUAACUGUCUAAA